rnacentral:lncRNA from 13 species
AUAAAAUUGAAAUGAGAACGGAAUUGAAGGUGUUGGAGAAGUAAAGAUUUUAAAAUAUGUCCAAUGAAAGGUAGAGAAACGAAGAGGAAUAAUGUACAAAGGAAGGAGGAAGAAUUGUGCGAUUGUAAAAUAGGUAAAUAAUAGAAUGGAGAAAGGAAUUAAAUAAGGCGAGUAAUGACCCGGUCCGAAUCCUUAAUCCGCAUCAAUUUAAUUUGCCGAUUAUAUCGAGUAACCUUUUUACAAGCGCAAGGAAGCGUGCCAGUGUAUUAGUAUCUCAACCUGGAUACAAAUCUCCACCGCAAAUUGGUAAAGAUGAGGCUAAGACGCAAAUUGCGUUUGAAAAGUAUUUUGGUAAAGAAAUCGAAUUGUAUGGACCUACUUGCAUUGUUCAUUCAACACAGUCGAGGAAUGCAUUUUGAGAAUGUGUCUAUUUUGCUUAAUGCAUUAGCUACGAUGCUAGCAGACGGGUUACUGACGUUACUGCUGGCGCGAUAAACAAGAGAGAUUAUACAUGUAUUGAAGAGAGAAAAUUUACCGGACUGAUGAAAAACUGCAUGAAUUCCGCAAACAGGAUCCAAAAAGAGUAGAGUGCGUAAUACCGAGUGAAAUGAUGAAAAAAUCCCGACUUAAGUAAAUCCUUUUAUUAGACAAGGUAAAACUUAAUUACACAGAUUAAUUUUAUACAUAAUAUCUUUAUUUAUGAUCUAACAUCUGAACAAUUAUACAAAUUUAAAGUGAUAAAAAUGUCACUCAAAGAAAAUCGUCCAUUAUUUACGUCUACACUGUAUAAAAGUUCGAACGCUGUAUAUUUGAAAUUUAUUAGCAAUUUUAACACUUUCGUUGCAUUUUUAUCCGCAACAGCUUUGUUCUAAAUUUUAAAGCCUUUUGAUAGUUUGCGUGCAGGUACUUAUAUAUUUAUAAGAAAAAAUGAAUUAUAACAAAAAACCUGCAAAUAAGUUUGAAUUACCCCACUCUCCCACAUAUGUAUAUAUAUUUUUUAUUUGUA